rnacentral:rRNA from 1 species
UACGGGGGGGGCAAGCGUUGUUCGGAAUUACUGGGCGUAAAGGGCUUGUAGGUGGCCAACUAAGUCCGACGUGAAAUCCCUCAGCUUAACUGGGGAACUGCGUCCGAUACUGGAUGGCUUGGAUUUGGGAGAGGGAUGCGGAAUUCCAGGUGUAGCGGUGAAAUGCGUAGAUAUCUGGAGGAACACCGGUGGCGAAGGCGGCAUCCUGGACCAACAUUGACGCUGAGGAGCGAAAGCUAGGGGAGCAAACGGG